rnacentral:misc_RNA from 1 species
UUGGAUGAUACACUGCUUGAAGUAACCUAAAGAUUCUUGAUCCAUCAUUUUUAGUACCAGUAAUGAAGUAAGCUAUUCUUGGUGGUGGUGAAAAGGGGUUUGAGAAAGUGGGGUUGUGAGGAAAAUGAGUUUGAGUAUGAGUAUGACUAUGGAAAUGGUGAAGUGGAAGGAGGAGACAAAAGAGGAAAAUUAGUGGAAGAGAAAAGAGGAGGAUUUGUUUGAGAAAGAAAGACAUGAGAUUUGG